UGGGGGAUAUUGCACAAUGGGCGAAAGCCUGAUGCAGCGACGCUGCGUGGGGGAUGAAGGCCUUCGGGUUGUAAACUUCUUUUGCUCUGAACAAGGCGCACCAUGGGGUGUGUUGAGUGUAGGGGUUGAUUAGCGCCGGCUAACUACGUGCCAGCAGCCGCGGUAAUACGGAGGGCGCGAGCGUUGUCCGGAAUUAUUGGGCGUAAAGGGCUUGUAGGUGGCUGGUUGCGUCUGUCGUGAAAGCUCAUGGCUUAACUGUGGGUUUGCGGUGGGUACGGGCUGGCUUGAGUGCAGUAGGGGAGGCUGGAAUUCCUGGUGUAGCGGUGGAAUGCGCAGAUAUCAGGAGGAAUACCGGUGGCGAAGGCGGGUCUCUGGGCUGUUACUGACACUGAGGAGCGAAAGCAUGGGGAGCGAACAGG
rnacentral:rRNA from 1 species